GAGGUGGGAGGUUUGCUUGAGUCAGGGUGGUUGAGGCUGCAGUGAGCUGUGGUCACACCACUGCACUCCAGCUGGGGUGACAGAGUGAGACCCUGUCU
rnacentral:miRNA from 1 species